UUGACAUGUAAAUGAGAAUCGAUAUGAUUAUCACAACCGGUCGCGAGACUGGCCGAUACCUGAAAGACCUUGGUUCGGACUUUCAGAUUAUCUCCUCAUCAGGCUAAUCACGGUUUUUGACCCGGCUCUUUGCCGGGUCUUUUUUUG
rfam:Pseudomonas caspiana strain FBF102 scaffold00007, whole genome shotgun sequence.